rnacentral:rRNA from 1 species
CAGCAGCCGCGGUAAUACGUAGGUGGCAAGCGUUGUCCGGAAUUAUUGGGCGUAAAGGGCUCGCAGGCGGUUUCUUAAGUCUGAUGUGAAAGCCCCCGGCUCAACCGGGGAGGGUCAUUGGAAACUGGGAAACUUGAGUGCAGAAGAGGAGAGUGGAAUUCCACGUGUAGCGGUGAAAUGCGUAGAGAUGUGGAGGAACAUCAGUGGCGAAGGCGACUCUCUGGUCUGUAACUGACGCUGAGGAGCGAAAGCGUGGGGAGCGAACAGGAUUAGAUACCCCUGUAGUCCCUGUCUCUUAUAC